rnacentral:misc_RNA from 1 species
UACCAUCAUUAACCGUCUCCGCCAUAAACAUCUUGUCCGAUUACUAGGGUGGUGCCACAAGAAUGGGAUGCUACUUCUGGUGUAUGACUACAUGCCAAAUGGAAGCUUGGAUAAACAAAUAUUCCAUGGACCUGAAGAAAAGAACACCCUGGAGUGGAAGCUCAGGCAUAACAUCAUAGCUGGUGUAGCAUCUGCCCUGCACUAUCUCCACAACGAGUACGACCAGAAAGUGGUGCAUAGAGACCUCAAGGCUAGCAACAUCAUGC